rnacentral:rRNA from 1 species
AGCAGCCGCGGUAAUUCCAGCUCCAAUAGCGUAUAUUAAAGUUGUUGCAGUUAAAAAGCUCGUAGUUGAAUUUCGGGGUCAGUAGUCUGGUCGUGCCACUGGUAUGUACUGGGCUCACUGAUUCCUCCUUCCUGAUGAACUGUAAUGCCAUUAAUUUGGUGUUGCAGGGAAACUGGACUGUUACUUUGAAAAAAUUGGAGUGUUUAAAGCAGGCUAACGCUUGAAUACAUUAGCAUGGAAUAAUGAAAUAGGACGUUCGAUCCUAUUUCGUUGGUUUCUAGGAUUGACGUAAUGAUUAAUAGGGAUAGUUGGGGGCAUUAGUAUUCAAUUGUCAGAGGUGAAAUUCUUGGAUUUAUUGAAGACUAACUACUGCGAAAGCAUUUGCCAAGGAUGUUUUCAUUAAUCAAGAACGAAAGUUAGGGGAUCGAAGACGAUCAGAUACCGUCGUAG